rnacentral:tRNA from 1 species
GCGCCGGUGGUGUAAGGCGAACAUCGCUGCCCGGAAAGCAGAAGAUGCGUGUUUGAGUCCCGCCUGGUGCA